UGGGCCUCUUUGCCUUCUUGGGCCUGCGCGUGGUGGGGGUGGCCGUGGGGUGGGGGCGGUGUGGGGGGUGGGGGGUACCCGGAGCAUCGGACGGUGGGGUGGGGUCUGUCACCCAGGACCGCGGGGAGGGGCCCCGAAGCCCUGGCGCCCCGCCAGACACGAGGGAAGAGGAGAGCCUGGGAGGUCUGAUCCACAGUUUGUUUCCUGGGGAAGGAAGGGUGCAGAUGACAGCGACAGGCCGGCAGGCGGGAGCCACUCUCGCCGGAGCCCCCCACAUCCUGAGCUCCGAAUGGGAGGGGCUGGCCACUGGGCACCUAGCCCCGGCCCUGCCAGGGUUUGUUCGCAGACUUAGUAGUCUUCGGGCCCAGAGUUCCUCAAACAGAAUUCUGCACAGGCCCUGUGGUUCACCACUAGAACUAUUUUAGAUCGGAACUAGAAAACAAAUCAAAAAAAAAAUCUAUUUCAAAGUUUGUGCUUCUGAGCCCGGGCGUGACUACAUUUCACUUCUGGUGAGUUGAUGUAGGCACUUCCGGCUGUCUUAGUUCUGUGCUGGUAGCCACAGCAAUUAUCACUUCUUGGGUUCCAGACCAUAUAUUUUGCUGCUGCAAAACUCAGAAUUUUAUUUGGCGGGGAUCAUUUGCCUUUGAACUUCAACUUCAGGGGCUAAGAAAUGAGCUUCUUAAAUAUGUUAACGUGUUGAAACUGUAAUUUGACACCAUGAAAAUGGCACAGAGCCUGAGUAUGAUGUAUCAUUUUAAUUGUUUCAUGCUAAUGAGAAAAGAACAGAGCCCUGAUCAAAUAUUUGAAGGAUAUAAGAGGCUGCAGGAGGCCAAAUGACUUCUGAAAACUUGGGAGGAUGGAGUUUCCUGAUGAUUCUGAAACCUUUUACCUCAGAUUGGGACUCAAACCCAGCCAAAACACCCAGUACCUGGUUUCAGGACCUAACGAAGCUCAGGUUCUUGAUGUCUCAUUGCAGAAAGAAUUCAGUGAGAGACAAAGUCAUAGGUAAGAGGUGGAUUUAUUCAGAUAUGGAAAGCAGCACACUCCAGACAGUGUGGGCCGUUGCAGAGGGCAAACUGGGCCACGAAAUCUGGUGUGGUUCAUUUUUAUAGGCUGGGUAAUUUCAUAUGCUAAUAAGUGAGAUGAUUAUUCCAACUAUUUUUGGGAAGGGGUGGAGCUUUCCAGGAUCUGGGCCAUCAUGCCCACUCCUUGGUGUUUUAACAGUGCUUUGGAACUGUCAUGGCACUUCUGGGCGUGUCAUUUCACUUGUUGAUUGAGGAUUAAGGUCUCAUCUUGUCUGCCGCUUUGGUUUCGUUUGAUUCUAAUCGGUUUAUGUUGUAUCCUUGGGCAAUGUCAUUCUUUCAAAAGUUGUGCCCUGCCCCUUUCCCUCCUGUUACAGUUCCAGUGGAAUAAAUGGUGGGAGAAUUGAAUCAUCAACCCCUCAUGGUUGCUCAGGAAGGAGGUGUUCCAUGACAAUCAGCACAGUACAUCCUUUGCAAAAGUACAAACUGCUCCAUUAUUGUCUUGGGUGAACUCACUUGCAAUAGUUCAUUAGUGAAAACUAUGACAGUAAUUCAAGUGGCUCAAAUGAUAGCUCAUCGUGAUCAAAAUCAAAAGACGAAGACACAGGAAAUAGAACGUGUAAAAACAUCACUCCGCUACUAUUAAACUCAAUGCAAGAGGUUUGAUUUCAGCAACGCAUCACCAGUCACAUUAAUUUAAUGUUGUUAUUGUGGAUUUUAUUGGUUUUGAGGUUGCGUUUGUAUCUACUUAGAAAUUUUGUUUUGGUUUUACAGUUGGUUUAUAGAGUGUGAACAUGACAGCUUCCUGGUUAAUUUUAGGUUUAUACCUAUUUCAGUAACAAUAAAAUACAAAUAAUUUAAGUCAA